rnacentral:rRNA from 1 species
GUAGGUGGCAAGCGUUGUCCGGAAUUAUUGGGCGUAAAGCGCGCGCAGGCGGGGGUUUUUAAGUCUGAUGUGAAAGCCCACGGGCUCAACCGUGGAGGGUCAUUGGAAACUGGAGAACUUGAGUACAGAAGAGGAAAGCGGAAUUCCACGUGUAGCGGUGAAAUGCGUAGAGAUGUGGAGGAACACCAGUGGCGAAGGCGGCUUUCUGGUCUGUAACUGACGCUGAGGCGCGAAAGCGUGGGGAGCAAACAGGAUUAGAUACCCUGGUAGUCCACGCCGUAAACGAUGAGUGCUAAGUGUUAGGGGGUUUCCGCCCCUUAGUGCUGCAGCUAACGCAUUAAGCACUCCGCCUGGGGAGUACGGCCGCAAAGGCUG